rnacentral:rRNA from 1 species
CAAAAACAUGUCCUUUUGUUUUUAUAUAAGGUCUAACCUGCCCAAUGAUUAUUAUUUAAUGGCCGCGGUAUUUUAACUGUGCUAAGGUAGCAUAAUCAUUUGUCUUUUAAUUGAAGGCUGGUAUGAAUGGUUGGACGAGGCAUAUUCUUUCUUUAAUUUAAUUUAUGAAUUUAAUUUUUUAGUUAAAAAGCUAAAAUUUAUUUGUUGGACGAGAAGACCCUAUAGAUCUUUAUAUUUAAUUUUAGUUAAUUAAUUUGGUUUAUUUAUUAAUUGGAUUAAUUUAAGUAUUUGGUUGGGGUGACUGUAGAAUUUGAUUAACUUCUAUUUUUGUUUUUUCAUUAAUUUAUGUAUUUUUGAUCCAUUAUUAGUGAUUAUAAGAUUAAGUUACCUUAGGGAUAACAGCGUAAUUUUUUUGGAGAGUUCAUAUCGAUAAAAAAGUUUGCGACCUCGAUGUUGGAUCCRAAUAAGUAAUAAGUGCAGCAG